UAUCAAUAAGCGGAGCACAAGGGUCCCUGCAUAUCAACUAAGCGGAGCAAACGGGUCCUUUCAUUGCAUAAGCCGGCUUCGUAUCNUGUUUCCUUGCAAACAGACACGAUCUCGNGNCGNGUGUNGAAUCCCUGUGCGAUGAGAUGCCCAUUUCCAUGUAAAGUUCCUUCGACGAGUCGAGUUGUUUGGGAAUGCAGCUCUAAGUGGGUGGUAAAUUCCAUCUAAAGCUAAAUAUUGGCGAGAGACCGAUAGCGAACAAGUACUGUGAAGGAAAGAUGAAAAGAACUUUGAAAAGAGAGUGAAAAAGUACGUGAAAUUGUUGAAAGGGAAGGGCUUGAGAUCAGACUUGGAAUUUUCCANCAAUGGAGCUUUCCGGGCCAGCAUCAGUUUGGAUGGCAGGCAUAAUUGCGUAGGAAAGUGGCACCACCUCGGUGGUGUGUUAUAGCCUGCGUCGAUACUGCCUAUCUAGACUGAGGACUGCCGUCUUUUGACUAGGAUGCUGGCAUAAUGAUCUUUAAGCC
rnacentral:rRNA from 1 species